GUGGCGGACGGGUGAGUAACGCGUAAAGAACUUGCCUUACAGACUGGGACAACAUUUGGAAACGAAUGCUAAUACCGGAUAUUAUGACUGAGUCGCAUGAUUUGGUUAUGAAAGCUAUAUGCGCUGUGAGAGAGCUUUGCGUCCCAUUAGUUAGUUGGUGAGGUAACGGCUCACCAAGACGAUGAUGGGUAGCCGGCCUGAGAGGGUGAACGGCCACAAGGGGACUGAGACACGGCCCUUACUCCUACGGGAGGCAGCAGUGGGGAAUAUUGGACAAUGGACCAAAAGUCUGAUCCAGCAAUUCUGUGUGCACGAUGAAGUUUUUCGGAAUGUAAAGUGCUUUCAGUUGGGAAGAAGUCAGUGACGGUACCAACAGAAGAAGCGACGGCUAAAUACGUGCCAGCAGCCGCGGUAAUACGUAUGUCGCAAGCGUUAUCCGGAUUUAUUGGGCGUAAAAGCGCGUCUAGGCGGUUUAGUAAGUCUGAUGUGAAAAUGCGGGGCUCAACCCCGUAUUGCGUUGGAAACUGCUAAACUAGAGUACUGGAGAGGUAGGCGGAACUACAAGUGUAGAGGUGAAAUUCGUAGAUAUUUGUAGGAAUGCCGAUGGGGAAGCCAGCCUACUGGACAGAUACUGACGCUAAAGCGCGAAAGCGUGGGUAGCAAACAGGAUUAGAUACCCUGGUAGUCCACGCCGUAAACGAUGAUUACUAGGUGUUGGGGGUCGAACCUCAGCGCCCAAGCUAACGCGAUAAGUAAUCCGCCUGGGGAGUACGUACGCAAGUAUGAAACUCAAAGGAAUUGACGGGGACCCGCACAAGCGGUGGAGCAUGUGGUUUAAUUCGACGCAACGCGAGGAACCUUACCAGCGUUUGACAUCCCAAGAAGUUAACAGAGAUGUUUUUCGUUGCCUCUUCGGAGGAACUUGGUGACAGGUUGGUGCAUGGCUGUCGUCAGCUCGUGUCGUGAGAUGUUGGGUUAAGUCCCGCAACGAAGCCCAACCCCUUUCGUAUGUUACCAUCAUUAAGUUGGGGACUCAUGCGAGACUGCCUGCGAUGAGCAGGAGGAAGGUGGGGAUGACGUCAAGUCAUCAUGCCCCUUAUACGCUGGGCUACACACGUGCUACAAUGGGUAGUACAGAGAGCUGCAAACCUGCGAGGGUAAGCUAAUCUCAUAAAACUAUUCUUAGUUCGGAUUGUACUCUGCAACUCGAGUACAUGAAGUUGGAAUCGCUAGUAAUCGCAAAUCAGCUAUGUUGCGGUGAAUACGUUCUCGGGUCUUGUACACACCGCCCGUCACACCACGAGAGUUGGUUGCACCUGAAGUAACAGGCCUAACCGUAAGGAAGGGAUGUUCCGAGGGU
rnacentral:rRNA from 1 species